GUCGAACGGGAGUAUUGAAGAAGCUUGCUUUAGAGAUACUUUAGUGGCGGACGGGUGAGUAACGCGUGAGGAGCUGUCCAAUGCAGGGGGACAACAGUUGGAAACGACUGCUAAUACCCCAUAAGCCGAGAGGUAAAAGGAUUUAUCCGGCAAUGGAGGUACUCGCGUCCUAUCAGCUAGUAGGUGAGGUAACGGCUCACCUAGGCGAAGACGGGUAGCCGGCCUGAGAGGGCGAACGGCCACACUGGAACUGAGAUACGGUCCAGACUCCUACGGGAGGCAGCAGUGGGGAAUAUUGGGCAAUGGGGGGAACCCUGACCCAGCGACGCCGCGUGGGUGAAGAAAUCCUUCGGGAUGUAAAGCCCUGUUGUAUGGGAAGAGCGGAAGACGGUACCAUACGAGGAAGCCCCGGCAAACUACGUGCCAGAC
rnacentral:rRNA from 1 species